UUAUGGCUCAGGAUGAACGCUAGCUACAGGCUUAACACAUGCAAGUCGAGGGGCAGCAGGAAUCUAGCUUGCUAGAUUGCUGGCGACCGGCGCACGGGUGCGUAACACGUAUCCAAUCUACCCAUGGCUCGGGGAUAGCCUUUCGAAAGAAAGAUUAAUACCCGAUGGUCUGCGAUUGAGACAUCUCGAUUGCAGUAAAGAUUCAUCGGCGAUGGAUGAGGAUGCGUCCGAUUAGCUUGUUGGCGGGGUAACGGCCCACCAAGGCGACGAUCGGUAGGGGUUCUGAGAGGAAGGUCCCCCACACUGGAACUGAGACACGGUCCAGACUCCUACGGGAGGCAGCAGUGAGGAAUAUUGGUCAAUGGUCGGUAGACUGAACCAGCCAAAGUAGCGUGAGGGAUGACGGCCCUACGGGUUGUAAACCUCUUUUGUUUGGGAAUAAAGUUCGCCACGCGUGGCGUUUUGUAUGUACCUUACGAAUAAGCAUCGGCUAAUUCCGUGCCAGCCGCAGC
rnacentral:rRNA from 1 species